GAUGAACGCUUGCGGCAGGCCUAAUACAUGCAAGUCGAACGAUAUUUUCCAGCUUGCUGGGAGAGAAAGUGGCGCACGGGUGCGUAACGCGUAUGCAACCUACCUUUAUCAGGGGGAUAGCCCGGAGAAAUCCGGAUUAAUACCGCAUAAAAUCACAGAACGGCAUUGUUCAAUGAUCAAACAUUUAUGGGAUAAAGAUGGGCAUGCGUGUCAUUAGCUAGUUGGCGGGGUAACGGCCCACCAAGGCGACGAUGACUAGGGGAUCUGAGAGGAUGGCCCCCCACACUGGUACUGAGACACGGACCAGACUCCUACGGGAGGCAGCAGUAAGGAAUAUUGGUCAAUGGAGGCAACUCUGAACCAGCCAUGCCGCGUGCAGGAAGACUGCCCUAUGGGUUGUAAACUGCUUUUAUUCGGGAAUAAACCUGCAUACGUGUAUGCAGCUGAACGUACCGAAGGAAUAAGGAUCGGCUAACUCCGUGCCAGCCGCCGCGGUAA
rnacentral:rRNA from 1 species